rnacentral:rRNA from 1 species
UACGUAGGUGGCAAGCGUUGUUCGGAUUUACUGGGCGUAAAGGGCGCGUAGGCGGCCACCGCAAGUCGAUUGUGAAAUCUCCGGGCUUAACCCGGAAAGGUCAACCGAUACUGCGGGGCUAGAGUGCAGAAGGGGCAACUGGAAUUCUCGGUGUAGCGGUGAAAUGCGUAGAUAUCGAGAGGAACACCUGCGGCGAAGGCGGGUUGCUGGGCUGACACUGACGCUGAUGCGCGAAAGCCAGGGGAGCAAACGGG